UACAGAGGGGGCAAGCGUUGUUCGGAAUUACUGGGCGUAAAGCGCGUGUAGGCGGCAAGGCAAGUCGGAUGUGAAAGCCCGCGGCUCAACCGUGGAAGUGCACUCGAAACUGCCUAGCUAGAGUCUCGGAGAGGAAGGUGGAAUGCUUGGUGUAGAGGUGAAAUUCGUAGAUAUCAAGCAGAACACCUGUGGCGAAGGCGGCCUUCUGGACGAUGACUGACGCUGAGACGCGAAAGCGUGGGGAGCAAACAGG
rnacentral:rRNA from 1 species